CCACUCUCCAACCUCGAGAUAAGCACUGCAUCUCCUAGGUGUUUGCUGACGAAAUAUCGCCUCCACCAGUUGGCAAACUCUUGUGUACAGUAGUAAGAAAGGUUGAAGUCAAAUGGCUCGAAGCCAUAAACGUUAUCACGACUAAUCUUCAUGUACCUUUCAUACAAAGUGGAAGUCACAGUAGUCCCAAGCACGAUGUUCUUCUUUCUUAUAUACAUGCUCUUUGGUCGAAGCUGUGAAAAGCCAAACUGUCUAGAGACCAAAUUUGGUUGAUACCCAAUUAAUGCAUAUUCAGAAGAUAGGGUACCAAUUCGAA
rnacentral:lncRNA from 1 species